UUGACCUCGGAUCAGGUAGGGAUACCCGCUGAACUUAAGCAUAUCAAUAAGCGGAGGAAAAGAACCAACAGGGAUUGCCCUAGUAACGGCGAGUGAAGCGGCAACAGCUCAAAUUUGAAAUCUGGCGCAAGCCCGAGUUGUAAUGUGUAGAGGAUGCUUCUGGGCAGCGGCCGGUCUAAGUCCCUGGGAACAGGACGUCAUAGAGGGUGAGAAUCCCGUAUCUUGCACCCGUCACGUAGCUCCUUCGACGAGUCGAGUUGUUUGGGAAUGCAGCUCUAAAUGGGAGGAUACAAUAUUCUUCUAAGGCUACAUACCGGCCAGAGACCGAUAGCGCAUCAAGUAGAGUGAUCGAGAAGAUGAAAAUGCACUUUCGGAAAGAGAGUUAAAAAGCACGUAGAAAUUGUUGAAAGGGAAGCUCACGCAGCCAGACUUGUCGGCGGUGUUCCGCCGGUCUUCUGACCGGUCUAUUCGCCGCCGGCAGGCCAGCAUCACUUGGGAGCGCCGGAUAAAGGCGUGCGGAAUGUAGCCCCUCGGGGCACUUAUAGCCGCGCGCACAAUACGGCGCCUCCCGAGUGAGGUCCGCGCUUCGGCUAGGAUGCUGGCGUAAUG
rnacentral:rRNA from 1 species